UACGUAGGGGGGCAAGCGUUGUCCGGAUUUAUUGGGCGUAAAGAGCGUGUAGGCGGCUAUACAGGUCCGCUGUGAAAACUCGAGGCUCAACCUCGAGACGUCGGUGGAAACCGUAUGGCUAGAGUCCGGAAGAGGAGAGUGGAAUUCCUGGUGUAGCGGUGAAAUGCGCAGAUAUCAGGAAGAACACCCGUGGCGAAGGCGGCUCUCUGGGACGGUACUGACGCUGAGACGCGAAAGCGUGGGGAGCGAACAGG
rnacentral:rRNA from 1 species